GUGAUUUCUCAGCUGCAGCUUUUCCAAUCCAGAUCUUUAUCAGGCUGGAAAGAGGCAUUCAGUUCUUGGCCAGGAUUUGCUCAUCUGCCCCUGCAAAGAUGCCAGCUCUGCAAGCCUGUAGCACAGACAUUACCUCUGCAGCUGUCUCAUGAGUUGAUUCAGAGCUUCCUGAAGUGGUGUCUGCUCCACCUCUAGACCAAAAACAAGGAGGAGGAGAAACAGUGUGAGGCAGAACUGACUGCACUUCCAAGAUAUCAGAAAUCAACCAAACAAAACUGAUGCACCUUGAGAACUCAGUAUAAAGAAAAGAACAGAAUGGCAAACCCCCACAAUACCUAUGGGGGAUCUACUUUUCCCAUUGCCCUUACUUGACAUUCUGUUCACUCUGACAGAAAUACCAAAGGAAGUGUACAGAAACCUAAUUCCAAACUUUUGUACGAGAUGGAGAAAAACACUGACAUGGCACAAAAUGCCAAGUCACUUACUACAAAGUAAACAAAGAACAAUAAAACAUGAGUCAAUUACAAAAAA